rnacentral:rRNA from 1 species
AUUGGCGGGUGCUAUAAUGCAGUCGACGCGUCUUGGUCAAUGAAGUUGAGUGCUUGCAUUUAACUGAUUUGACAUUAAGACGAGUGGCGAACUGGUGAGUAACACGUGGGUAACUUGCCCCGAAGCGGGGGAUAACAUUUGGAAACAGGUGCUAAUACCGCAUAACAACAAAAACCACAUGGUUUUUGUUUAAAAGAUGGUUUCGGCUAUCACUUUGGGAUGGACCCGCGGCGUAUUAGCUAGUUGGUGAGGUAAUGGCUCACCAAGGCAAUGAUACGUAGCCGACCUGAGAGGGUAAUCGGCCACAUUGGGACUGAGACACGGCCCAAACUCCUACGGGAGGCAGCAGUAGGGAAUCUUCCACAAUGGACGAAAGUCUGAUGGAGCAACGCCGCGUGAGUGAUGAAGGGUUUCGGCUCGUAAAACUCUGUUGUUGGAGAAGAACGGGUGUCAGAGUAACUGUUGACAUCGUGACGGUAUCCAACCAGAAAGCCACGGCUAACUACGUGCCAGCAGCCGCGGUAAUACGUAGGUGGCAAGCGUUGUCCGGAUUUAUUGGGCGUAAAGCGAGCGCAGGCGGUUUUUUAGGUCUGAUGUGAAAGCCUUCGGCUUAACCGGAGAAGUGCAUCGGAAACCGGGAGACUUGAGUGCAGAAGAGGACAGUGGAACUCCAUGUGUAGCGGUGAAAUGCGUAGAUAUAUGGAAGAACACCAGUGGCGAAGGCGGCUGUCUGGUCUGCAACUGACGCUGAGGCUCGAAAGCAUGGGUAGCGAACAGGAUUAGAUACCCUGGUAGUCCAUGCCGUAAACGAUGAGUGCUAAGUGUUGGAGGGUUUCCGCCCUUCAGUGCUGCAGCUAACGCAUUAAGCACUCCGCCUGGGGAGUACGACCGCAAGGUUGAAACUCAAAGGAAUUGACGGGGGCCCGCACAAGCGGGGGAGCAUGUGGGU